CAACAUUUUGGAAUUCAUAUUAGAGGCUGGUUAAGAGUAUGUCCAUUGAAGUCUUAGAUUGGAUGCUAACCUUACCAAUGGCCACUGAGUGGCCAGAGCUUUUACAAAAUUAGUCCUGGACUUUCAAAUUUAAUUUCUCAACCAGCAAAUACAGAAAAUAACAGAAUCUACUACAUAAAGUUUUGGCAAAAAUUAAAACAGCUACUGUGGUAAAGCUCCUAAUAUGUUGUCUAAUACAUGGUAGGGACUCUAAAAGAAAUAGGUUUUCUCCUCCGAAUAAAUUUUUUUCUUAGGCAAGUAUAGACUUGCAUAAGACAGAAAGUGGCAACAAUAAUAUAAAUCCCUAGAAUUCAAAGUUCUAAUUAUAAAUAUCAAUACUUGAACUACACACAGAUAAAGACUUUCAGCCCCUAUUAAAGGUACAUAAGACUGUGCACCCACACUGAAGAACUACAGUGUUUCUUUGAGAAAUUGGUGUUUUGAGUGAAUUUUAUAAUUUUUACCUCUCCUGCUUCACCUUAAGUUUUUACUUUUUAAUGUUUUUAGUGUUCCUGACUCAUGAAAUCCUAUCUCCUCCAAUUUGUAUCAUGCUUUAAAAAGCAGACUGACUUUCUGUGUGUGGGCAUCUGAUUUUAUUUCAUAUACUGCUAAAAAAUCAUGUUCUAAAUGGGGGCCUAAAGGUAUAUUAUCUAUUCAUAAAGUGCAAGAGCUAUAGUGAAUGGCCAUUUUGACAUUUAAUUUGGUUGUCCAGCAAUCUUUUCCUGUUAAAUUCCUCUUUCUUGGGUAUUCCUUUGAUAAUAAAUUUGUCAGCAAUGUCAUCUCUGGACAAAUGACAGAAGUUUAUGUAUAAUGAAGAAACAAAAAAGGACAAAUAUUAGAGAACGCUAAUUUUUUAAGGAACUGAGCAAAGUACAGAUUGUUGGCUGAAAGACAUUCUGCAUUUAGCCUGCCUGUUAUUUAAAAAUUAGUUUUCAAGAUUCAAAAAGACAAAAUAGAAGAAUUUAUGUUACAAUCUGGAUCUCCAGUUUAUUGUGAAAAUUUGGGCAGUCUAGAAAUGUCCACUUCCAGAAAGAUGUAUUAAAUGUACUUCACAUAUUCCUCCCACUAGGUACAACUAAAACACCCAGAUAUUAUAUAUAAAACAAAUAUAAGAAAAAAAAAAUAUGAAGGGUGGAAAGAAAAGGCAGACUAGCUAGGGCCUUUACAACCCAAGGAACAAUUCUGUGGCAAGUUCCUGAGAUUUCUUUUUGCCCUAUAUAUCCCAGACUUGGAGCUAAAGACACUGGCAACACAAAAACAUCAAUAGGCACAAACAACAAAAGCUCCAACAAAAAGCAGGCUUUCUCUAGUCAGAGGACUAACAAAGAAGCAGUAUAAUAAGAAUGAAAAUGUUUAGUCAGUAACCACUUCCCUCUAGCCAAACAACAAGGAAAAUACUGUAGUCCCAGUCUCACCUUCAUCACCAAAAGCCAAGUGGGGAACCUACAUUUCCAUGCUGCUGAGGUGACAAGGCCUCUCAAUCUCAAAGAGUGGUUUCAGAAAGGCUAAGAAGAGAGCUAGGAUUUUCAUCCCUUCCAGAAUAUAAUGAGGCUAUCCUCUCCUUAUAGGAAGCUUGGCCUUCAACUCCUACUGAGUACUAACAAGAUGCCACUUUCCUCUGCUGGAGUGGUAUAGGAGGCCUAGUAAGGAAUUGUCAUUCUUCCUCGUGUUGGUCCUUCUGCCUCUUGUUGGUAGUUGUUGGUGUCACUAGAUAUUGGUAUCGGUGGGAGAAAUGAGGGGUUAUGAGGCACUGCUCCCCAAACACCAAGGGAAGUAUCAGUGGAGUCCUAGUGGGGAGCCAGAAAUCCCCUGCCUCCUCCCCACUUAUCAGCUUCUAAUAAGGAGUUCCCUGCCCUGGGGUAUUGGCAGAGACUGAGUGGGAAACCAGGACUUUUGU
rnacentral:lncRNA from 1 species